ACUGCGUGUAUAGAAGGGUCCGAGCCGUUGGCGUGCGUGCGUCUUCCCUCCCGAGUAAACGCACACAGGCAUGCAGUGACGCGUGUAGCGUGUAGCGUCUUCCCUCCCCUACCUGCAGGUUACACGGCACAAGGCAGGCAGCCCGGGCCCUGUUCGUCUGAUUGGAACUGCUCCCUUCUCCUCUGCGCGCCCCGUUUCUGUGUCUGGGGGAGCGGCUGAAUCGGGUGGAUGUGGAUGGCAGCAGCCGGGAGGCCGUCAAGAACUUCGCCGCCGCCAGCUCCUUUCUCCAAGCUUGCCGCCUGCUGCUUCGUGCUGCUCCUACCCAUCCUCCACACAGAGCAAGUGCCGGUAGCCGAGGCCCUGUCGAUCGGCGUCAACUACGGGCAGAUCGCGAAUAACCUCCCUUCGCCGGCGCGGGUGUCGUGGCUGCUCCGGUCGCUCAGGAUCAGCAAGGUGAAGCUCUACGACACCGACCCCAAUGUUCUGCGCGCUUUCCUCGGCACGGGCGUCGAGUUCGUGGUCGCCAUCGGGAACGAGAACGUCCCGGCGAUGGUCAGCCCGGCGGCGGCGCAGGCGUGGCUCGAGCAGCACGUGGUGCCGUACCUCCGCGCGGGCGCGCGCAUCACCUGCAUCACUGUCGGGAACGAGGUGUUCAAGGGCAACGACACCGCGCUGCAGGCUGCCGUCCUCCCCGCCAUGCAGUCCGUGCACCGCGCGCUCGGCGCGCUGGGCCUGCAGGGCCGCGUCAACGUUACGACGGCGCACUCGCUAGACAUCAUGCGCGUCUCCUUCCCGCCCUCCGCUGGAGCGUUCGACCCGGCCGCGCUGCCGCACCUGCAGCCGUUCCUGAGCUUCUUGUCGGCGACGCGGUCACCGUUCCUGAUCAACUGCUACCCGUACUUCGCCUACAAGGACGACCCGGCGCGCGUGUCGCUCGAGUACGUGCUCUUCCAGCCCAACGCCGGCGUCACCGACACCUACACGCGGCUCAACUACGACAACAUGCUGUACGCGCAGGUGGACGCGGUGUACGCGGCCAUCCAGGCGCUGGGCCACACGGACGUCGAGGUGAAGGUCUCCGAGACCGGGUGGCCGUCGCGGGGCGACCCCGACGAGCCCGGGGCCACGCCCGAGCACGCCGGCACGUAUAUCCGCAACCUCCUGCAGCGGAUCGAGAUGAAGCAGGGCACGCCGCUGCGGCCGGCGACGCCCGUCGACGUGUAUGUGUUCGCGCUGUUCAACGAGAACCUAAAGCCUGGGCCAGCGUCGGAGCGGAACUACGGGCUGUUCUACCCCGACGGCACGCCCGUGUACAACGUCGGCCUCCAUGGCUACCUCCCGCUGAUGUUGGAGUCACAUGGAGCACGGCAGGUACAAACGGAUUCCCGAUUCUUCAGAACUUCUUAGCAAACUAUCUGCACAUUACAUGCAAAAUUUGAACGUGUCGUCUCGUCCAUGGAUCGGAAUUGAUUAGUGGAGAUGAAAGUGAGAUGCCGCAUGGCAGCCAAAGGCCAUGGCCAAGUAAAGCAAGGAAUAGAAUUCUCCACCAAGGCAAAAGAAGGAUGCUGUAAUCAGUAGGGGGGUAAUUGGUUUCCCGCAUGUAGAGAUCCCGACUUCGUGGAUACUUAUAAGUUUAGAGACAAACGUGUUUCGUUGUUCACAUGUACUGUUUCAAUCUGAUCCAACGGAUGCAAAUAUACGCUCAUAUCCUGCCUCAUUCGAGCUUCCUUCCGCAACCUGGUUGGAUGGAUGCAGACUGUUGCAUCUGUUCAUAUAAGUAGAUCCACUUUUUAGUAUCACAAAAUUACCUUCAUACGAGCACCCAAUCAGAAUCUAAGUCUUGUAUUCACUCAUACGAUCUCAGAUUCAAUCAACUAAAUAGAAACUCAGUUCAAUCUGUCCAGACAGAUACAACCAACCAAACACUUUUUUUUUUAGCACUUUUGCAUCCGCUCAUCCUACAUAUACGGUCUAUACGAGUAACAGGACAUACGAGCAACCAAUCAUACCCUAGUUAUAUUAGCACGCGCGCACACAUCAUGCCAAAGUCAAAACUCAGAUGUUCCCUUGUGCAUUUGUGUGGUGCUUGCUCAUGAACCCUGACGGGUCACCACUUGGCUUUGUGUGUUUGGCAGGUGAUUCAGCUGCUUGGGCUGGUAGCCAUCGCAUCCGUGGCUUUCGUGUUAUCCUGACAGCUUAAGGGACCGUGGGCUGAGCAUCUCAUGCUGACAGGGUUUCCUGUAGCAACUGGCUAGGUAAAUCAGUUGAAAUAAUGACCGUGCAACACUCUUAUGCUAGACAACUAAUAAACUGGCAUAUUUGGGAGGAACUUCGGAGUCGUUUGGCCACUGCAUCCAGGGUCUAUUCUGAAUUCUGAUAGCCUUUAGGAGCUGAAAGAUUAUUCAAAUAUUCAUAUUGAAAUUAGGUUAGAACUGACUGAAGCAUGUGCGUCAUUGAUCGUCAGAGUUUAUCUUAUGACCACAGAGGUAGAGACAGGUAUUGGAGCAUAAUUGAUAGCGGUAAUCUGUGGUCUUUUUUAGCUUGGUAAUUUUCUUGUUUUAUUCUUUACCUGGAGUAUGGAAUUUGGACACAUCUUUAUCGGAAGGACAAGUACAGACAGGAGAGACAUUUUCAGAUUAAUGCUAGAAAUUGUUACUUCCAAUCAUGAAUUGAUUCCGUGAAGCUUGUAACAGUAUGCCUAUAUCUGAACAUGGUAUUUGACAUGAAUGCCUAAGUCUGAGUUCAAGGGUGUAUUCUUUUUUACAUGUCC